GAUCAUGGCUCAGGAUGAACGCUGGCGGCGUGCCUAACACAUGCAAGUCGAGCGAAGCGCUUUGCUUAGAUUCUUCGGAUGAAGAGGAUUGUGACUGAGCGGCGACGGGUGAAGGUAACGCGUGGGUAACCUGCCUCAUACAGGGGGAUAACAGUUAGAAAUGACUGCUAAUACCGCAUAAGACCACAGCACCGCAUGGUGCGGGGGUAAAAACUCCGGUGGUAUGAGAUGGACCCG
rnacentral:rRNA from 1 species